CAUUUGUGACUUUAAAUAUAAGAUCUUAUUUACUUUAAAAGUUAGAUUUCUUCACAAAGAUAUAUUAACAUCUUUAUCGUCUGUUCUGUAAGGUUCCACAGACGAGGAGUGGCUGUGAGUUUUCUGCUGUAGAGUGUCCCCCAGAAGUUGAGAAGAAAAGAGACAGGCAUUUAGCAAGGAAGUGUUUGGAAAAACACAAAGACAGUAGGAGUGAAGAGCUUCUGGAAACAUCAGUAACUGAGGAUAGUGGAGAACUAAUAGAAAAUGAAAGAGCAGACAUGGCGGCAGACCCCUCUCCCAGACAACAACCUUCUGAGGAAGAAAUCGGCGAAUCAUUGAGACUUUCUGCUUUACCUUUGAUUUUUCCUGGUCAGAGAAAAUGUGACAAUCACACAGCUGUAAGCAGUUUAGACCAUGUGGAUUCUCAAAAAUUAUGCAUGAACAGCAUCCGAGGCUCAGACCAUGCUUAUCUCCAAGGUCAGCAGGAGGUCUCAUCCUCAGGGCUCCUAACAGGUUCUGAUUUGGACACAAUGAAUUUGGAUCAACUGCAAAGAGAAACGCUAAAAGUGCAGCUGGAAGUUUUAAGCCUACAAAAGGAAUAUUACAC